rnacentral:rRNA from 1 species
CAAAUGACUCUCGGCAAUGGAUAUCUCGGCUCUUGCAUCGAUGAAGAACGUAGUGAAAUGCGAUACUUGGUGUGAAUUGCAGAAUCUCGUGAACCAUUGAGUCUUUGAACGCAAGUUGUGCCCGAGGCCUUGYGGCCGAGGGCACGCCUGCUUGGGCGUCAUGG